CUCGGCUACGCGUAGCAAAGGUGCCUUAUCCAAAGUCAACCCGGAGUUCGUUCUAGUCUUUGCUGCAAAAGAGUAGGUCCCGCCUCGGGGAGCCUCGCGGCUCAGUUGUCUUUUAUGUUGCUGUCAGACAACAUCUUUGAUGAAUGGUUGUAGUCUUUGAUGAAUGGUUCUCAAGGAAGGCUGAGGAACGCAUUCUGGACUCCAGAGAAGGUGUAAGGCGGUUUGUGUUGGAGAUUAUAUACCACUGUUGAAAAGCAACAAUACGUGGUCGUGAAUUGAUACUGUGAUCAUAUGCAAAGGUCCCUUUGGACGGAAAGACGAGAUCUAUGACAUUAUGUGUGAAUAUCAGUAAUCAAGGACGACUUAAUAUUUGUGAGAUUUUUUUAUAGACUUUUCUUUUGUGUGCAUACUAUGGUGAUUAUGAAAGUGGAUCACUCUCCAGCUGAGAUUAAAAAACAAAAACACAGUGCAGCGUUAUCUGGCUUAGUAUGUGUUAGUUUGAUUAUCUGACUGCCAGUCACUAUAUGUGCCUGAAUAAUUGUGACUAUGUUAGGAUAGUGAGUUUCAUUAUUUCCACAGUUUCAUUAUCUAUAAAAUAGAGUAGUGUUAUUACAUCUUCUUGGAGUAUCAGAUUUAAGAUGCAGAAAAAUAUUUGCAAUUUAUCUGCCAAAUGAUUUUAAAAUGAUAUUUUAUCAUGAAUCAAUGCUGUUUUAUCGGAAAGAAUGCAAAUCGACAUUUUAAAAGAAAGAAGUAAUCAAAGUAACAUCCAGUCAUGGAGUGGCUGCUGUAGGUUUCCGAUCUUCUGUAACGUUCAGGAUACUUAACCAGAUAACUUUGAAAACCCUAGACUAAGGAAAUAAUUUCCUGCUUACGGAAGCAGGUAGAUUAGAGCAGAGUCCAGAAUUAGGGAAUCGGAUGUCCUAGUUUAUAGGUCACGCAAGGCAAGGAACCUGUUUGAGACUGCAUAGUCUAUCAGAACACUACUUGUCUUAUUCAAAAAGUGAUAAUUACAUUUUGUCAUAUUCUGAGUAAACAAAAACCAGGCUACCAUAUCCUGAACAGUGCCUGAUUCCUCUGUUGCAGUUGGCAAUUUUGAACCUAAAUAUUUGUAUUUAUUCUGACAUUUCUGACACUUUUUCUUCAGAUCUGAAAUGGUAGAUAAAAAUAGAUGAAGAGCUAAUGGAUGUAGUAUUAGAGAAGAAGAUAAAAUUCCUUUUCUAUCACAAUUUCAGAAGAAACUCCCUAAUGUUCCUGGGGGGGAAAAAAGGUUUUUUUCCUGACCUUUUUUGUUGUUGUUUCUCCUCCAAAAGUCUCUCUUUUGCUUCAUCCUAACUAGUUUCAUCACAAGUAAAAAUCCUUGAAAUUCCCUGUCAUAAAACAUAGUUACAUUGGUUUCACUAAUAUCAUUGUAGUAACAAAUCUGGAAAUGAGACAUGCCCAUCAAAAGUAGGAUGGAUAAUUAGGUGUGGAAUACUUUUACACUGGAAUAGUACACAGCAGCGAAAAUUACUGAAUCUAACAUAUGAUGAGCAAUGAGCCAUAGAAAUAUAUAUACAGUGUUCCAUUCAUAAAAUUUUAGAAAGAAGCAAAAUAAAUGAUACUUUGUGCUUAAGUGGAAGGUAACGGAAAACAAGGAUGUGGUAAAUAAAAUUCAGGAAUGUGGUAAGUUCAGAGAGGAGGAAACAUGAAAAGAUACGUUUGCAAAGGGAUUCAAAGUUAUUUCAUGACCCCACUGGCUGCUCUGAAAAGCUGUCUUUGCAUUGUUCCCGUGUCCAGCUCCCGUGUCCAGCUCUGCCUCCUCCACCACCAAACACUCGGCAACUUUACUGCCAGAGUCCUCCGACUCUUGCUUUCUUUUUAAUCUGCUGCAUCGGAUCACCUGUGUGCCAGGUCAUGUCAGAGACAGCCGUGGACACCAGCUCCGAGAUCACCACCAAGGACUUACAGGAGAAUUGUGGAGGAGGCAGAGAAUGGAAGAGACACACCUUCUAAUGGAAAAGCUCAUGAGGAAAAUGGGGAGCCAACAAGAUGAAGAAGAGGUAAAAGGGGGCGGGAGGAAGAGGAGGAGGAAUAGGAAGGUGAUGGCGAGGACGAGGAUGGAGAGGAAGAUGGGGAGGCUUAGGCAGCUACGAACACACAAGCAAUAGAUGAUGAAGAUGAUGAUGUCGACACCAAGAAACAGAAGACCUAUGAGGAUGACUGGACAGCAAAAAAGGAAAAGUUAAAUUUAACAACAACAAAGGCUACCAUAACCUAUUCACCGCGCCCCCCAUCUCAGAUUCUAAACGUGAUCACUUUCAAGGGGAGAGUCCCACCCACCCAUGCCCCACGUGGGCAGUGCCACC